UGGGGCGGAGGCGACGACUGGCGGCUGUUCUAUUUACACCUGACAUGGUUGAGAGGCUAGGGAGCAGGCGAUUUUGCACUCGUAUUUGGUCGGCAAUGGAGAUGAAUUUGUGAGAGAUGUGGCUGGGAGUUGCACCGGUCAUUUUUCUGCCCUCUCUAUGUUAUCCCUUUGCACUAAUCGGUAAUUGCUUUUUGACCAGGGGAUAGGGUAGCGUACACGAACAGCAAAAUUGUAGAAGACGAGGAGGACAAUCUGAGUGACCAACAUUAUGUGGAGUAUUGAGAUGCAGAUCCAUCUUCACCGACAGCACGCGCUUGUCUGUGACCUCCCACCAGCAACGCCUUGAGGUCACCCACACAAGCGACCAAGCAAUUCCACGCUGUCACCCUCUGCUACUUCGCCAACGACAUCGAGGAGGUCGUGGGUGAGAGCUACUGUCCUCCCUGGAGAACAUGCUCGUGCCCCAUGCGUACGAAGAAGAGCUAAGACACUCGCAUGGGUGCUCAAGGAAAUACACCAGAUUGAGCGAGAGUGUUAUGCAAUUUAUCAACAAGAGCAAAGACUCUAAUCUGAUGAUGUAGGACAGCUUUAAUGUGACAGAGGAUCAUGGUGGUCGAUGGAUUGUGCACCCGGUAGUAGACUAAGAAAGGAACAUUAUUUAUGGAACACAAUGAUAUUCAGAGCAGCCCUGCACUAUGUGAGAUUUAGAAGUUGGUACUGCCGGCGGAUGCAUCCAUGUGCUAAUCUCCUGGCACCGCGUAGACGGAGCCAAACGAGUUGGGGCCUCCAGCCGGCUGGUAGUGGACAACAACACCGGGUUUGUUAAUUACUCAACAAGUCACAGAUUGAUCUCUUUUUGAUUGGUU